UUCCCCGUGGUCCCUGCGCCGUAGUCCCUGCAGGGACCACGGGGAAUAAAUUCCCCGUGGUCCCUGCGAGACAUAUAAUACUGCCGAAUUAAAAAUAUGUAGUGAUCAAUGUUAUAUUCGAUUUAUUUUCAAUAAAUCGGGAAUACUUUUAACGUCAUCGGGAAUACGUUUAACGUAUUGUUAUUGAUUAAAUUUAUCUUAUUAACCGACUUCAAAAAAUGAGGUUAUCAAAAAAAUCACACAUACGUGUAGAAACACGUAUGUUUUUUUAUUUAUUUUUUUUCAUUUUUUUUUAUGUUUUAUUAAUCGGGAAUACGUUUAACGUAUUUUUAUUGAUUAAAUCUAUCUUAUUAACCGACUUCAAAAAAGGAGGUUAUCAAAAAAAUCACACAUACGUGUAGAAACACGUAUGUUUUUUUAUUUUUAUUUUUUUAUGUUUUAUUAAUCGGGAAUACGUUUAACGUAUUUUUAUUGAUUAAAUCUAUCUUAUUAACCGACUUCAAAAAAGAAGGUUAUCAAUUCUACACGUAUGUUUAUUUUUCUUUUUUUAUGUUUGUUACCAUCAUCAUCAUCUUUUAUUUAGUAACUAAUUUCGAUUUUUUUUAUUUGAAAGAGUAUACUUGGUCCCAUCUAUUUUCAUGAAAAUCGGUUUAGUAAUUUUGUAUUAAAAUCAAAAUAACUUAAAUACGUCUUUGAAGUCGGACAUUUUUGAAAAUUUUGCACCUUUUCUUGGUGAGAUCAGAAAGAACAAUCACCCAUAUUUAAUCACUUUUUAACCGACUUCAAAAAUGGAAGGUUCUCGAUUCGACGCGAAUUUCUAUAUUUUAGAUUAAUUAGUACCUUAUAAAUUCGUUAUUUAUUAACGAAUUUCGAUACUUUUUACUUUUCAUCACACUAUUUUCCAUAUUUAUUUGCCAGUUGUAGGAAUCGAACUCACAGC